AUGACUUAUAUCUGCGUCCUCAUCUGGACUCUCCUCUGCUGCUGCUUCACAGAGUCCAGAGGUCAGGUCACAUUGACUCAGCCUGCAGCAGUGAGAGCUGAUCUGGGAGGAUCUGUCAGCAUCAGCUGCAGGACCAGUCAGAAUGUUCAUGUUUCUAGCAGUUACCAUCUUUUAGCCUGGUAUAAACAGCAAGAGGGACAAACUUACAAGCUGCUCAUUUAUUACACCAGCUCUCGAGCAUCAGGGACUCCAAGUCGUUUUACAGGCAGUGGAUCAAACUCUGACUUCACUCUGACCAUCACUGGAGUUCAGGCUGAAGAUGCUGCUGUUUACUACUGUCAGAGUGAAAAUUUCGUCAACAGUCAGUAUGUGUUCACACAGUGA